rnacentral:rRNA from 1 species
UUGGAGGCUUGUUUGAAUGGUUUGACGGAGUAAUUUUUAAUAUUUAGGCUUUGUUGAAAUUGAUGUGCAGGUUCAGAAUCCUGUGUUAAUUAGACGGAAAGACCCCAGGAUCUUUGAUUUGCCUGGGGCAGGUGCCAGUAUUUUAAUGGUAUUUUGUUCCUAUUUGGAUAGUGGUUAAGUUACCCUGGGGAUAACAGUGUAAUAGUUGAUUAGAGAUCUUAUCGAGUCAGUUGUUUGCCACCUCGAUGUUGACUUGGAUUUGUUUGGGCGCAGUAGUUUGAAUGUUGGGUCUGUUCGACCUUUAAAUCUUCAUGAGUUGAGUUAAGACCGGCGUGAGCCAGGUCGGUUCUUAUCUAUUGGUGUUACUUAUUAGUACGAAAGGACCAUAAGUUUUUUUAUUGAGUGUGUAGUGUUGCCUUAGCUUUGCAAAAGCUAAUGAGAAACAGUUUCCAUACUUUGUUUGUUUAACUGUGGCAAUAGGAAGUUUAUUGUGCUAGCUGCAUAAAAUGGUUUUAUGCUUUAUAAAAUUAGGUUUGAUUUAAGUAUUAGCAGUUAGUUUUUUAUUAGGAUGAGGGUCUUUUAAGGGCGCAAUAGAGAGGGGAGAGGACACAGUGCCAGCAUCUGCGGUUAGUCUGUUUUCUUUGCUUUUUUGUGGACUUUAUUUAAAUAUUAAUAUUAAGUUUAGGUGAAAUUUACUUAUUUUUGGUUUAAGUAUUUAAUUUUUAAUAAAUAAUAAUUAGUGACAGGGAUUAGAUACCCCAUUAAUAUAUUAGAAUAUUUUGUCUUAGUCAACUAAAAUA